rnacentral:misc_RNA from 1 species
GAAAUGCGAUAAGUAGUGUGAAUUGCAGAAUUCAGUGAAUCAUCGAAUCUUUGAACGCACAUUGCGCCCUUUGGUAUUCCAAAGGGCAUGCCUGUUCGAGCGUCAUUUGUACCCUCAAGCUCUUCUUGGUGUUGGGCGUCUUUGUCUUCCCAGAAGACUCGCCUUAAAGUCAUUGGCAGCCGGCCUACUGGUUUCGGAGCGCAGCACAAGUCGCGCUCUCUUCCAGCCAAGGUCAGCGUCCACAAAGCCUUUUUUCAACUUUUGACCUCGGAUCAGGUAGGGAUACCCGCUGAACUUAAGC